AAUGCAACUGUUUUAAGGAUCAAUAUAGUAUUUAUUGAAUUAAAAAUUGAUUUUCAUCAUCGUCAUUUAUUCUUUAUUCAGAUUGAAGAGCUGCUGGUUGUCAGAGAUCAGCUGUGCUUCUUUGGUCUCAGCUCUGAAGUCCAACCCCACUUAUCUGAGACAGCUGGACAUGAGUUAUAACGAGCUGCAGGAUUCAGGAGUAAAGCUGCUGUGUGGUUUUCUGGAGAGUCCAGACUGUAGACUGGAGACUUUGAGAAUAUGGAAAUGCACAU